GCUGGGAUGGCGGAACGGUUAACGCGCACGACUGGAAAUCGUGUGGGAGAAAUCCCGUGGGAGUUCGAAUCUCUCUCCCAGCG
rnacentral:tRNA from 1 species